CUACGGGGUGCUGCAGUGGGGGAUAUUGCACAAUGGAGGAAACUCUGAUGCAGCAACGCCGCGUGAGGGAAGAAGGUUUUCGGAUUGUAAACCUCUGUUUUUAGUGAAGAAACAAAUGACGGUAGCUAAAGAGGAAGCCACGGCUAACUACGUGCCAGCAGCCGCGGUAAUACGUAGGUGGCAAGCGUUGUCCGGAUUUACUGGGUGUAAAGGGUGCGCAGGCGGGACUGCAAGUUGGAUGUGAAAUUCUGAGGCUUAACCUCAGACCUGCAUCCAAAACUGUGGUUCUUGAGUGGAGCAGAGGUAAGCGGAAUUCCGAGUGUAGCGGUGAAAUGCGUAGAUAUUCGGAGGAACACCAGUGGCGAAGGCGGCUUACUGGGCUCUAACUGACGCUGAGGCACGAAAGCAUGGGUAGCAAACAGGAUUAGAUACCCUAGUAGUC
rnacentral:rRNA from 1 species